rnacentral:rRNA from 1 species
UACGUAGGGGGCAAGCGUUGUCCGGAAUCAUUGGGCGUAAAGAGCGUGUAGGCGGUCCGUUAAGUCGGCUGUGAAAGUCCAGGGCUCAACCCUGGGAUGCCGGCCGAUACUGGCGGACUAGAGUCCGGAAGAGGAGAGUGGAAUUCCUGGUGUAGCGGUGAAAUGCGCAGAUAUCAGGAAGAACACCAAUGGCGAAGGCAGCUCUCUGGGACGGUACUGACGCUGAGACGCGAAAGCGUGGGGAGCGAACAGG